CAGGUCACAUUCAGUUUGUCAGUUGAAGAUUGAAAGGACAUUGAAUAAAAGCAAAGCUCAAAGCCAAGCAGCAUCAAGCCAAGAUCGAGAAGAAAUGACAACGGAAGACGACAAGAGCAGUGAGGAUCUGAAAGGUGGCACGGAGGUGGACGAGCCGGAAACCGACGAGG